UACAGAGGGGGCAAGCGUUGUUCGGAAUUACUGGGCGUAAAGGGCGCGUAGGCGGCCUCUUAAGUCGAACGUGAAAUCCCCGGGCUCAACCCGGGAACUGCGCCCGGUACUGGGGGGCUUGAAUCCGGGAGAGGGAUGUGGAAUUCCAGGUGUAGCGGUGAAAUGCGUAGAUAUCAAGAGGAACACCUGCGGCGAAGGCGGGUUGCUGGGCCGACACUGACGCUGAGGCGCGAAAGCCAGGGGAGCGAACGGG
rnacentral:rRNA from 1 species